CGGGGCUUGCCUGUGACCCCAGCCCUGGACUCCUGAUUUGGAAGUCUGAUGCUUGGCCCUAAAAUGAGUUUUUAGGCUCAAACAUACCGCCCUAACUUUGCUUUAUAUAGGUUUUUCCGUCCACCCUAUAAAAGUAGUGCUGUUUUUCAGAUGAAGAUAUUCUCAUGAUACAUUUUGUUUGUUUGCUUUCCAAACUACCUAACGGGCUCUGUGGACAGUGGAUAUCAAGAAGCCAGGAGUCUGAUCUUCAGGGCCUCCAGAGAUAUCUUCCUUCUGCUGACAUAGAACUUAGCCCGUGUUACUGCUUUUCUAAUUAAAGGAACUGCUGUAUCUGUGUUGGCCUGAGCAUGUGGGCAAUGCACUGGACCAGACUGAAAGUGACUGGGAGGCUUCUUUCUGCAUGAAGGCUCUCUCUGGGUUGUGAGAAUAUAUAAGCCACGUGUGAUCUCAGUGGAAACUAGAAAAUUAAGGCAUUUUUACCUGUGAGUUAUUAUGAAGAUGAUUUCUUCUUAAGGUGAGCUGUUUAAAGCGUUGCCCCAUGCUGCGGAAUAACCCUUUCUGUGCACUGUGAGUAUGUAUUAUUCUCAUUGUUAAUAAAGAGCUGACUGGCCAAUAGCUGGACAAGGAGAGGUUAGGUGGGAGAGCAUAACGGAGAGGAUUCUGGAAGAAGAAGGGUGGAGUCACCAGGAGCUGCCAGUCAAACACAGAGGAAGCAGAAAGUUGAACAUGCCUUUUGGAAAGAAGGUACCAUGAUGUGGUCAACCAUAAGUAGGAAGUGUGGAUUAAUUUAAAUUAAAAGAGCUAGUUAGUAACAAGCCCAAGCUAUCAGCUAAGAAUUUGUAAUUACUAAUAAGUCUCUGAUAAAGCCGAGACUGCAGAGGAUUCAAAAACAGAACAAGGAAAUGUCACACAGCUAGUUUAUCUUGAGAAGCUGUACAGACUCUGGCUUAGGUUAAUGAUUAAGAAAGAUGAUUGAGUUCCAGAAGCUAAGUUAGUUCAAGUUCUUUUAUUGUUGGGAGAUGUGUUUUCAGGUUUUGGUGUGCAUCAUAGCUAAAACAAAUCUUUAAAUAACAACUUAAGGUUAGGUUAAAAUUUUUCAAUGGCUUGGAAAAUAAUCUAAUGUUUAGAAAGGCGCAUAGUUGAGCAAAGGACUUCAUAAGGCCAAGGAACAAGAACAAAGUAGUCAGGUAUUAUUAGCUGAUGUGCCUUUCUUGUUAGGAUGGGUUGAUGGAUUGGAAAUCAAAGAUGAUGAUUCCUUGGGCUCAUUUCUUUCCUCAGGUUCCUGAGACUGAAAAACAACAAACAAACAAAACAAAACAAACAAACAAAAAACUAUUGAUGAGCGGUUUCUCUGACCUGCUGAAGGCUCGGCAUUCAUCAGCACCCUGUGUGGGCUCUCAACUCUCAGCUCCUCCAGCCAUGCCUGCUGCUUGCUUCCAGACUUCUCCAUAAGCCUAACCGUGCCUCACACAUCCAGCCGUACAGAGUUCCCAGAGUGCCUCAGCACUGAGUGACAGGUCUAGGAGAAGGACCUCUCUUCAAUGGUCUUCAAGAAAGCUCAUCCUGGGGAGACUUCACGGAGCCUUGGAAUGAAGCCAAUCCUCUUUAAAGCCUCACAGAGGAGAAGCGGCUGAGUGGAAGGAAGGAGUCUAUCACACCAUCUCUCUGUCCACAGGCUUUCCUUGGGGCUUAUGAAGCCUGCUAGAUUUCUUCGUGGCACUGACCCCCCCUUCACUCGUUGGAACCAGAAGGACGCAGAUAAAUGUCUGAAGAACAAAAUGAACUGGAAUUUUUUGAGAGGAAGAGAAACUCAGGACACUUACUUGUGUCCCCAGAGGCCUACAUGGACAUUUUCAGUCUCUCCUCCGGAGCCACUGUCUCCUUCAUUGGCGUACAAGGGGAUUGCAGAGGCAAAGCUAGGCUAGGUCUUGGAGGCUGGUGUGAAGCGCGCGGGUAAGGCUGGAAGACACCGGUGGAAGAAAAGCCGAAAUGGAUUCUCCGUGCCUUGGAUGGAGGAAGAGGGGAAGUGCGAGCUCCUUCAACUCGUUCGGUCCGGUGAGGAGUGAUCCAGCUUGGGCUGACAAGAGUCUCCGGGAGCCCUCUCGUUCAGUGCUUUUUUUACCUGCCAAUCAAACUGCUCCAAGACAACACCCUGAUCUGGCAUGGACCCCGCGGGUCCAAGCCUGUAGUCCCAAAUCGGAUAAUCUCUGCAGCUGGCUACACGCAAAAGAGAAGCCAGGCAACAGACAUAUUACAGAAGAAAGCUCCCGACUCCGAGAUCAAUCCUAGAAGUUCUCAAGACCCAUUUAAAAGAAUCCGGCUGAUUGCUUUGGUCUAAGAGUGCAGACAUCUCUUGCAAAACUAAGGAAGACCUCAUUUUGCAUUUGCUGGUCCUCCUGUUUUGUCAGCCCUGGGCCCGGUGAGAAGCUUACCAGGAGGUCCUGGCGCUGGAAGGACCAUGUGAGUUCAUCUCAGACGAUGGGGGGGCUCAACGGUUUUAGUGACUCACACAGUGGAGAACCACAUUCCCUUUGGAAGAACUUGUAUUUGGUGACACAACAAGGUCAGCUUGAGCGGCACCUGAAGGAUUUCCUCCUGUGGCUAUUCUGAGAAAAAGACAUGACAAGAAAUGAUUCCUGAAGGGUUUCCUUUUAAAAUGAAGACAAAUUAAUCAGUGAUACAUGCCUGUAGUCCCAGCCCUAGAGAGGCAGAGGCAGGAGAUGCUCGGUACUGAGGUCAUCCUGGGUCACACUGAAAACAAAUACCCAGCAGGGCAUGAUGGCACACACCUUUGACCCCCAGCACUCAGGAGUUCGAGACCAUCCUGGUCUACAGAUUGAGUAGGACAGUCAGGGUUAAAAAAAGAAAACAAGGCAACUUACUGAACACAUAGAUUUAUGUGUGCUCUAUUCCAGGAAGUCAGUGGUGAUUAUGAAACAGUAAAACUAGGUCAUGGCAGAAUGCACAAAUCAGGAUCAGCUUAGAACACUUCUCUGUCACUCUGUAUCAUUUUUGGUGUGACAGUUACUGCAUUUCUGUAGUUCACCUUUUGAGGAGGGCCUUAGAAUCAAUAUGAAAAAGAUACAUAUUCAUUUCUUUAUUUAUUUUGUGAGACAGGCUCUCAUAUCUUCCAUGCUGGCCUUGAACUCAUGAUGGAGCUGAGGAUGGCUUUGAUACGGGAGUAAAGGUGCUGUCACUUCCAGCAGAAAACAUGAUGUUUAGAACAAAGACAUUGUUUCCUUAUGUAGCCAAUGGUUCUUUAAAUGCCAAUCAACCCCCCUCCUCCAGGGCUUAAUGGUGUGUGUAGAAGAAGUGCCCCUAACCACUGGGACAAGGAAGUGCGCAUGCACCAAGCACUCAAGAGGUGGUGGUGGGAGGGAGGGUCCCCGUUCUUCAGAUGAGGUGGUAGAUGACAAAAUUAAGGGUGGAUUGGAGCAACGCAGCACUGAACGUCCGUGAUUUCAUUUCAUUUCACAAAAGUUAAAUCAUUCAGAUCUCUAGUUGGCUUAUCAUUGCUGGUGUUUGGUAGGGCUGAGACUCAAACCCAGGGCCUCACUGGGGCUAAACAAGGCCUCUACUACACAGUUUCAACCUUAGCCUUCCCAGUUAAAACAAAACAAAA